AUUCCAUGAAUAGAAAGGAAGACAACACUCCUGAUCCUCCUCCUCUUGAUAUACCAGCAAGAUUUCAGGGUGACAAUCUUUGAAGAGAUUCUGAAACAUCAAAUCAGGAAACGAUGGGAAUAAGCUGAUUUCUUCCUGAGAUAACACUGAGAGCAUCAUUGCACGUCUGAUGGAGAACAGAAAACGAGUGAGAAAGAAAGGUGCAGCUGUGCAUCUGGAAAUCUGGGAAACCAGCAGGGGAAGGUGCAGGUUGGACAAGGAGCAGAGCUCUCAUCCUUGAAUGCUAGCAAGAAAUGCUGACACCUAAUUCAUCUGGACUGUGCUGUCGCACAGAGCAGCUGCCUCACCCCACAUCACACGCUGUGCCCUGGUAGAGCCUUCUGCAUCCCGAGGUGAGUGGAAAGGAGACUGCAGGCCUGCAUUCCUGCCCUGCUGGCACACCCCUUCAUCAAAUAGGAAGGGCAACAAGGACGAGAAGAUGGCUUGGCAUGGUCCAAAACAGGAUGUAAGGAGCAGCCUGUGCUGCCUUGGCCUGUAGUAGUAUUUCAGGAUGCUUCAGUGAGAUUCAUCUCAGCUGAACACCAAGUGCCUCCGGCUGCUCCACUCCAUUAGGUGUCUGCACACAGCGUUAGAUCUAACUGGAGUAGAAACUUGAUUUGCUUUCACUGCGUGCACUUUUGGAUUCAAAGUGGUGUCCUUCCUCCUCCCCAAACAAAGGUGGAGUAAUGGAAAUAGCAGUGAGUCACCAGGUAUACGGGGGAGACUGGCAGUAGCAUUAGCGGUUCUCCUGUCAUUCUGCUGCCCCUCAGAGUGCAUUGGGCAAUGCAUGCCUCUGCUCAGGGUGUCCGAAUGCUCUGGGUCACCAUGGCAGUGAAAGGCCCUCCAUACUUUAUGGGAGGUGUUUAUAGCAUCAAUCUCUAGGGCAGAAUUAGAAAAGCUACUGUGAGUACCUGUCCUUGCUGUUAACUGCCUUACUGUUGAAUGAAGCACAACUACAGCAAAUGGCCUUAGGAUGUAUGUAGAGAAACUGGAACGUAAGGUUGUAAGUUUCUAGUGUGUAUUAUGGUUGAUAUCUCAGUAGUGCUUGGGUUUGGGAUUGGGACAGGCAGCUGCUCGCUCUCUUUGCAUACAGCAUGGCCAGCAAAUGUUCAGAGCUGGUGUUCUAAUUGCAGACCCCCAGCCCCUCCCAUCUGCACUGCAGCUGCAGUCCCUCUCCUGGUGCUGGCACAACACUGCUGCAGUCUCUUGUUGCCAAAUAAUGGAACUGAGCUUUGUUAGUGAGGCAGGGCAGUGUAUUGUCUGUGUAUUUUGUUGGUAAGGAUACGCUGUAGCUUGUUUUUUCUUUAUUAUCCAUAAAGUUGAAUUAUUCACAAGCAAUUUCACUCUAAAGAACUCUCAUGUACGUUUAAAAAAUAGAAACAAGGCUUCACUUUCAUUUCAUUAUGUUCUAAUCUUUACAAGGGUUUGUGCUUCUGCUCCUGAGAUGCCUUUGACUUACAAGGAGAAGGUUACCUCGUACCUUCUAACGUGCACCCUUAUUUGACAGCCACCUUUCAGCUCAGUAAUUACAUACACAAAUAGCAUGCUAUCAAAAUGUACCGUUAAAUACAUAUAUUUCUUUUAAAUUCUUGCAGCUUAUCUAUUUGGGAAAACAUUUCUGUACCCGUAGACAAGAAUUUCAGUAGCUAAAUUGUCUUUCCCAUUGCACUGAACUUCCCCAGAGUCCUUGUAGAUGUUCAAAAAUAAUUCCAAAAUACCUUAGGAAUAAGUAUGUAAAGAACUAGUGCUCUGAUAUUGAAAGUACGUGAGACCAAAUGGGAAAUUGUCUAAGAAGUAAUACCAGGCAGCUACCCAGUACAUGGCAAUGCAAAAUGUGACUUCUUCCCUUCUUCCAUCAGAGGUGCUGCUUUUAACUGAUACACUUCAGAGCCCAGUGAUUAAAAAGUCUUGCGAGCAGUAUGGAGCCACUGCCAGCUCUCAUGUUAUCCUACAAACGUUAGCAGUGAUCAUCCCUAUAAAAAUGUGCACGUUUUGUUAACUGCUGUCAUUUAUUUCAGAGCACUUAUUGCUAUAAAACA